CUCAAAAUUUCCAAGCAGUCGCACAUAAGCACCGCGUCAGAGAACAUGUAUAAACACAGCGGGCUCAUUUAGACUCGCUGCUCAUGCGCAGACAUUGCGUCCUUGCUCGACGCACACGCGCCUGCUUCCUCGCUUUCUCCCUCGCCAUGACGCGCGAUAGCAAGACUGACCAGAUUACGAACCGCCGCAACGUGCGAUGCCUGCCGCUGUGUGUGUGCACCGCCACGGAAAUUUUUUCACGGACGGACGGAGCCGACACGCCGUGUACCUGAAUGCCGUAGCAAGUGCGGCGUUCUGUGCGACAAGGCGGUGUCUGAUUGUGUAUUCCAACGGAGGAAGCCGUGUGCGUUCUGGUGAAGUGUGUGCUGAACGACUCUUGUGAGACUUGAUCCGUUGUUUGAAAGAAACUUGUUCAAGGGAUCCAUCAUCGGCAGAGCUGCUCGACAGGCGCGGUGUGCUUGGAGUUAGGUCCUCAAGCCAUCUGCGCUCUUGACCCUGGCCCCAUCGCAAGCCCUCCCACGUAGUCCAUCC
rnacentral:lncRNA from 1 species